AUGCUGAAGAGAUUUUUGUACCAAAAUACUUUUGGUUUUCAUUCAAACAGCACGCUGGCUUUUACUAAAAUGAAGUGUUUCUUGCUAAUAAGACUAAAACAGAAUUCUCUUCUAAAGUAUAAAUUACACACAUUCUUGUUUUUCGAUUUGCAUUGCACAACAUACAGAAGGGCACAUGAUCUUAGACUGUCUUGAACAGAAUUUCCUUCGUUUUAAAAAAAUAAAAUAAUGAGCACCAGCCCUUAAAUGUGCCAUACGUGACAGGAUGGAGGAAAGUGCAAGCUUGAAGUCCCAAGCAAGAAAAAAAUAGUAAAUGAUUUUCUGAUUGUCAAGAUUAUUUGAGUUUUUUUUGUCCUAUUUGCGUGUCUGUGAGUUUUACAACAUUCCAGAACAUCUAAACAUUUUUGCCCUUUGCCUGACACUUCCGUGUCUACAUCAACUUCCCCAAAAUAAUAAUACAAAAAAAAAAAAAAAUUAGUAAUGGGGAAACAUUUUUUUUUUUACUAAUAUUUGAGUUGUAUUUGUCAAACACUUUGCCCAAGUGACAGGCAGAUGAGAACAUUUCCAUUUCUGCAGCCCUGACAUUAUGAUCGUCUUCAAUCAUUCAACCUGCAUUACAGUCUUAUUUUACAUCUUCAUGUUUGCAGUUUAACUGCUGCAGCACUUGCACCCACCACCAUAAAACAAAGUCCCUCUACUACGAAGCAUAAAUUAGACAGAGCUUCAUCCCUGUGUAAUACUGAAACCAAAUCUUAAAGCACAUCUGUUGUGCUCAUAUUGACAUCAAAUCAAUGUAGGUUUACUGUGUGGACAGGCAGACCACAUGCACGUCUGAAAACUCAAAGAACUGUUUGAUCAGGGAAGCCAACAUGCUUCUCCUGACCAGCUAUGUUUAGAACCUUAAUAUGAAAUAAAAAGUACUGAAAUACGAUGCUCCAGAACUCAAUAUGUGGAGAAACUCUACAUACAGUACAGUGGAUUGAGAAACAAAGCGUAACAGGGAUUGAGUUGAACUCAGCAGUAGGAAAGUUUGCCCUAGUGCGAAAUUGUUCUUAAAUAUUUAUAAUAUACAACGUGUUUCAAGUUUCUUUAUGAUAGCGUUAACAUAACUACAGGAGGUUGCCGACGAGCUCUGCAGAUGAUAACAGGAAGCCAAAUGUUUUGAAAUAUAUUUGGGUCUUCGCUGAAUUAUGCCCAGCUCCAACCAUCUGCACACAUACAUGAAAUAUGACGCGUGAAAUCAGUUCAUGACCGUGUAUUUUUCUUCUUGUUGGUGGGGUGAUUUCUCUUUUAGUUAGUAUUUUAGUAGCGGUUGAGGACAGAACACAUGCAGUGGAGUUUACGCUCUGUCAAGGCAUUACUUGAUUUGUUGAUUUUGUCUUAUUUGUGUGUUGAAAAGUCCAGAUAACUGUAACAUUACAGUACCAAAAACCACGGCUCCACGGCUUUCUGUCCUUUACGUAUCGAUCAAAGCGCCUGCUUGACUUGACCCCUGUGUGCCUGCUGGCUCCUCGUACGUAUCCCAGCAUCCUCUGUGUGCAGUCGAGGGCCAGGCAGAGUCCUUGAGCCUUGUGCCGUUAUCACCAUCAUUUGCUGUCAUGGGAACUUUGAGGGACUUUGGCUUUCUUGAUUUUGGUUUGGCUCGGGAACGAGCCUUCCCCUGAGCCGAGAGAGUCCCAUCCCAUCAUGCCUUUCAGAGCUAAACGCUCAAUGCGCUUUCCUGGCAACCUCUUGGC
rnacentral:lncRNA from 1 species